AAAAGGCUAACAUUACAUUUUUGGUUACACAAAUGGUUUCCAAAUACACAGAGCCAAUGGAGUCGACGGAGGCGAUCAGGAUUUCAUACCAAAGCUCUAGCGUCUUUGUCGGCUCCAUUGACGACUCAGUAGCCGAUGGCUCUAGAGAAAAGAAGUCCUAGCGAGGCACUGCCACGGUCAUGCAAAUUUACAACACCUUUGUUUCCCCUCCAAUAGAAUAGCCGUGAUUGCAAUAUUUUCAUGAGAUGUCAAAGAAAUGAAAAGUGCAGGGGAAGACUACUACUUUAUUGUUAUCUGUGAGGGUUCUAUCUACUUGGCUUUUUGAUAUGAGAAGAAAUGGUAUUAUAUUUAUGACCACUAGCAAAGAGGUAGCCAAUCUAACUCCGGAGCAUACAAGACCAAGAUGGAAACAGAAACACAUGAUGGUGGUGAAACACUUAGGAAAAUAUAGAAGAAUAAUGUAUCAAGCUUUUUUGUGUUCCUUCUUAUCUAACGGGAACAAAGGGAAUUGGCAAAACAAGCUUCUUUGUUUAUAUGUUACUUAUUUGGACUUAAGUUCCAUGUAAACUGUAAAGUAGGAUUUUGUGUGCUAAUGUCUUAUGU